rnacentral:rRNA from 1 species
ACUCCUACGGGAGGCAGCAGUGGGGAAUAUUGCACAAUGGGGGAAAACCCUGAUGCAGCCAUGCCGCGUGUGUGAAGAAGGCCUUGGGUUGUAAAGCACUUUCAGUAGGGAGGAAGGUAGUGUAGUUAACACCUGCAUUAUUUGACGUUACCUACAGAAGAAGCACCGGCUAACUCCGUGCCAGCAGCCGCGGUAAGUACGGAGGGUGCGAGCGUUAAUCGGAAUUACUGGGCGUAAAGCGCAUGCAGGCGGCCUGUUAAGUCAGAUGUGAAAGCCCGGGGUCUUAACCUCGGAAUUGCAUUUGAAACUGGCAGGCUAGAGUCUGGUAGAGGGGUUAGAAGUUUCAGGUGUAGCGGUGAAAUGCGUAGAGAUCGUG